CACUACAUAGGGAAUAUGGUGCCAUAGGGCUCUGGUCUAAAGUAGUGCACUGCAUAGGGAAUAUGGUGCCCUUUGGAACACAGAGUGAAAAGGGGUAGUAAACCCUGGUUGAAAUGGCCCAAGUCAGGGAACUGUGGAGUUAUGAGUUUGGGGUUCAACUUUCUGUUUUUCCUGCUGACAUCAGCUACAACCAUCGUAUUAUAUGGGAGUCUGACUGGACAGCUCUGAAUCUAACAUCUAGGACUGUGUCUCUAUAGGGAUCCAUUAGGAACACAGCCUAAAGGAUGUAACAACUAGGGGCUGUGUCUCUAUAGGGAUCCAUUAGGAACACAGCCUAGUAACACAGUCUAAAGGAUGGAGCAUCUAGGGGCUGUGUCUCUAUAGGGAUCCAUUAGGAACACAGCCUAGUAACACAGUCUAAAGGAUGGAGCAUCUAGGGGCUGUGUCUCUGUAGGGAUCCAUUAGGAACACAGCCUUAAGGUCUGAAUCCAGGCUUAGUUGAUCAAUUAAGCAUGUGAUUCAUUGUUAUUGAUUAACCUUAAAUUACAUUAGACUUGAUUAAUAUGCUAUUUGGAAUAGAAUGGAAUAGUCCUACGUCGUCAAGGGAACACUUUGUAUUGUUCUGGACUAGGCUAUAAUCAGCCUAAUCUAUGGCCAUGAUUUAACCAGCCUUUGCCUGGCACCCAGUCUGACCAGCCCAAUGUCCAUCAGUGUCCUGUAUCGUAGACAAGGUUCUCUAUCAUUUAGACUGACCAGCCCAAUGUCCAUCAGUUUCCUGUAUCGUAGACAAGGUUCUCUAUCAUUUAGGCUGACCAGCCCAAUCUCCAUCAGUGUCCUGCAUCUUAGACAAGGUUCUCUAUCAUUUAGGCUGACCAGCCCAAUGUCCAUCAGUGUUCUGUAUCUUAGACAAGGUUCUCUAUCAUUUAGGCUGACCAGCCCAAUGUCCAUCAGUGUCCUGUAUCUUAGACAAGGUUCUCUAUCAUUUAGACUGACCAGCCCAAUGUCCAUCAGCUUCCUGUAUCGUAGACAAGGUUCUCUAUCAUUUAGACUGACCAGCCCAAUGUCCAUCAGUGUCCUGUAUCUUAGACAAGGUUCUCUAUCAUUUAGGCUGACCAGCCCAAUGACCAUCAGUGUCCUGUAUCUUAGACAAGGUUCUCUAUCAUUUAGGCUGACCAGCCCAAUGUCCAUCAGUGUCCUGUAUCUUAGACAAGGUUCUCUAUCAUUUAGGCUGACCAGCCCAAUGUCCAUCAGUGUCCUGUAUCUUAGACAAGGUUCUCUAUCAUUUAGACUGACCAGCCCAAUGUCCAUCAGCUUCCUGUAUCGUAGACAAGGUUCUCUAUCAUUUAGGCUGACCAGCCCAAUGUCCAUCAGUGUCCUGUAUCUUAGACAAGGUUCUCUAUCAUUUAGGCUGACCAGCCCAAUGUCCAUCAGUGUCCUGUAUCUUAGACAAGGUUCUCUAUCAUUUAGGCUGACCAGCCCAAUGUCCAUCAGUGUCCUGUAUCUUAGACAAGGUUCUCUAUCAUUUAGGCUGACCAGCCCAAUGUCCAUCAGUGUCCUGUAUCUUAGACAAGGUUCUCUAUCAUUUAGGCUGACCAGCCCAAUGUCCAUCAGUGUCCUGUAUCUUAGACAAGGUUCUCUAUCAUUUAGACUGACCAGCCCAAUGUCCAUCAGUGUCCUGUAUCUUAGACAAGGUUCUCUAUCAUUUAGGCUGACCAGCCCAAUGUCCAUCAGUGUCCUGUAUCUUAGACAAGGUUCUCUAUCAUUUAGACUGACCAGCCCAAUGUCCAUCAGUGUCCUGUAUCUUAGACAAGGUUCUCUAUCAUUUAGACUGACCAGCCCAAUGUCCAUCAGUUUCCUGUAUCGUAGACAAGGUUCUCUAUCAUUUAGACUGACCAGCCCAAUGUCCAUCAGUGUCCUGUAUCUUAGACAAGGUUCCCUAUCAUUUAGGCUGACCAGCCCAAUGUCCAUCAGUUUCCUGUAUCGUAGACAAGGUUCUCUAUCAUUUAGACUGACCAGCCCAAUGUCCAUCAGUGUCCUGUAUCGUAGACAAGGUUCUCUAUCAUUUAACUCACUCACUGAGCCAUUUAAAAAUAUAUAUAUAUUAAUUUAACUAGGAAAGUCAGUUAAGAACAAAUUCUUAUUUACAAUGACGGCCUACCCCGGCCAAACCCGGACGACGCUGGGCCAAUUGUGCGCCGCCCAAUGGAACUCCCAAUCACAGCCGGUUGUGAUACAGCCUGGAAUCGAACCAGGAUCUGUAGUGACGCCUCUAGCACUGAGAUGCAGUGCCUUAGACUGCUGUGCCACUUCAGGAGCCCAAAUAGGUGUCUCUAGAAGGUUUCCCGAGCCGUCUUGUCAUAGCCUGAGUAUCUUCAACCUACGUCACAAACGGCACCAUAUUCCCUAGAGGCCCAUUUAGGAUAUCAGUAUAUUUAGCCCACUCACCCAUGAAGAGGCAUCUCUAGAAGCAGCCGUUAGCCGUCUCUCUCUCUGCUUUGUUUUGCGAAGACUUCGCCCCCCGACCUCCAGAGACUGGCCAGCCUGCCAGUAGACUGAGUCCCUACGAGGCGACGGAGGUCUGAAUGUUGGCAUGGAGAACUCAGAAAUUGAAUUGUGGUAAUUUGUAGUAGGCCCAAUAGUAGGUCUGUGUCUGUCGUCAAGAUUCAUCUUGUGAAAAUGUAUCUCCAUCAAAUAAUAGGAUGUGUGGCAAGCUGUUAAAAUCUGCAGGUUUGGAAAUCUAUUUUUUUUUAGUAUGGGGUAGAUUUAGAUUUUCAAAAUAAACACUGAGAUUGUUGCCAUAGCGCUUGUGUGGAGGAAUAGAAGGGUUCCUUUGUUUUGGUUACCGGACCAUUGUGAUGCCUCAAUAUACGGUUCUAAGGUUCUGGUUUGGAAUCUGGAAUGAGUUGGUCGAUUCUCAGGCAUGUUAUUGGGUAACAAUGCAGAUACAGUCAUAAUAACUAGGUCAACCAAUAGAGGCCAAGUCUUUGAGUUCAUGCAUCCUCCAAAAGAUGGAGAGGGACAUAUCAUGAUCAGAGGAAGAUGGUCAGGGACGUAUUUGAUGAUGAGUCUGGUGAUGAUCUUGUAGAGGGCUACUCUGGGAAUCAGUCUUAUGGCUACUGGACUUGUCCUCCUUCCCUCUGAGUAGCCCCCACGUGAUGUCUCAGCAGCUCUGGGCACCAGAAAGUUCACCACACACAGUUCAGAGUAGUAGCCAGUCAUCCUCACCACGAGCCCUCUGCCUCAGCACUGUAUUCCUCUACUGUAUCUACCAUUCCUCUCGUGCUUCAGGUGACUCCUCAAUUGAUGUUUUCAAAUAGACCAGGAACAGGCAGCCAGGUGAGACAAAAAAGCGGGUACUGAUGCAUCAUUCAAACAAAAAAUAAUGAGCCAGCUAGCAAGUCCAUCUGCACAUGUUUAAAAACACAAUUAAAAACACUUACAAAUAAUUUAAUAUGUACAUAUUUACAGGAGCUCUCUGCUUAGGCUGCUAGGGCGCCAUGGCAACUACAGAACCAACAUAGACAACUUUGUGUGUGUUUGCGUUCGUGUGUGUGCAGGCGCCAAUCAAUACCUAGUUUAUAUAACUGAAUGGUUAACACAAAAUUGGUGACUUAUUACUGCUUGAGUAGGCUGUUUCAUGUGUGAAAGCUAGCCAACAUCAAAUUAUGCCAGUGUUGUGUAAAAUUGCUCAACCCUAAAUCCCUUUUAAAUCCAACGCGUGGAUGAUUCCUAUUUGCUCAAAGGCUCCCACAUCCUCCGUUACUAGGAGACGAUUACGAGGUGCAUUGUGGGUAUUGCAUUUUACAAACCCUUUCCCCAGAAUUGUAAACCCAGUUUGUAGUUUAUUAUAAAACUACAUAUCCCACAAUGCAGUUCGUCCAGGACGCGUCCGCCUCUUCUAAACACAUGACUUGAAGUACUCGGGCUAGAAAGACAGACGAAUGAACCGUAGCUCUGAAAUUGCGUUUCAUUUAAGGUUUCUUCCAUACAUUUUCCGGUACGGUGUAAAAAUGAAGUUUGGUUGUUUAUUCGCGGUGUUGUGUCUCGCAGUCGGGGCGAUUGCAGGAAAGUAUUCUAGAGAAAUGAACGACCAGAAACCGUCCGUGGACGGCAAGAGCACGGUGGAAUUUAGGAUAGCGAAACUCAACCAGGUGUGGGAGAAAGCGAUCAGGAUGCAGUUGCCCCCAGUGCCCCAGUCUAACAGUCAAUUAACUGUGGUUUAUUGGCAAUCUCUUUUUCUCCUCUCAUCCUCUCUUCUUCUGUCUCUAGUUGCAGUUGUCCACAGUACACCACUUUAACACCAGUCUCUCUCUUUCGUUCCAUCCCUAU